AUACUAAUUGUGAGUGUGCUUACCUGAAUGUGUUUCUUUCUGCAGAAAUUUAGAGAAAGCUGGCAAUAGUAAAGUCAUGUUGCGAGCCUUAAAGACACUGAAGUCAUUAAGGUCCCUGAAAAUGGCUAUAAGG